rnacentral:rRNA from 1 species
AAUCAACGCUGGCGGCGUGCCUCAGACAUGCAAGUCGAACGCGAAAGUUCCCUUCGGGGGCGAGUAGAGUGGCGCACGGGUGAGUAACACGUAGGUAAUCUACCUUUGGGUGGGGAAUAACAGCCGGAAACGGCUGCUAAUACCGCAUAAUGCAGCGGCUCGACAUCGAGACAGUUGUUAAAGCGGGGGAUCGCAAGACCUCGCGCCUAAAGAGGAGCCUGCGGCGGAUUAGCUUGUUGGUGAGGUAAUGGCUCACCAAGGCAUCGAUCCGUAGCCGGCCUGAGAGGGCGGUCGGGCCACACUGACACUGACAUACGGGUCAGACUCCCACGGGAGGCAGCAGUCGGGAAUUUUGGGCAAUGGGCGCAAGCCUGACCCAGCAACGCCGCGUGAAGGAUGAAAUCCCUCGGGA